rnacentral:rRNA from 1 species
UCCGUAGGCGGGCGAUUAAGUCAGAGGUGAAAUCCCACAGCUCAACUGUGGAACUGCCUUUGAUACUGGUUGUCUUGAGUUACAGUGAAGUAGAUAGAAUAUGUAGUGUAGCGGUGAAAUGCAUAGAUAUUACAUAGAAUACCGAUUGCGAAGGCAGUCUACUAACUGUUAACUGACGCUAAGGGACGAAAGCGUGGGGAGCGAACAGGAUUAGAUACCCUGGUAGUC